rnacentral:rRNA from 1 species
UACGUAGGUGGCGAGCGUCGUCCGGAUUUACUGGGCGUAAAGGGAGCGUAGGCGGACUUUUAAGUGAGAUGUGAAAUACUCGGGCUCAACUUGAGUGCUGCAUUUCAAACUGGAAGUCUAGAGUGCAGGAGAGGAGAAUGGAAUUCCUAGUGUAGCGGUGAAAUGCGUAGAGAUUAGGAAGAACACCAGUGGCGAAGGCGAUUCUCUGGACUGUAACUGACGCUGAGGCUCGAAAGCGUGGGGAGCAAACAGG